UCUAAUAUGGCAGAAAUUUAAUGCAAUGAAUUUAAGCUUCAUUUAUAAAGAAAUAAUCUUUUAUUAGAA
rnacentral:tRNA from 2 species